GUCGUCAGCUCGUGUCGUGAGAUGUCGUUAAGUCCGCUAACGAGCGCAACCCUCGUCGUGUGUUAUACGUGUCACACGAUACUGCCGGUAUCAAGCCGGAGGAAGGUGGGGAUGAUGUCAAGUCAGCAUGGCCUUUAUAUCCUGGGCUACACACACGCUACAAUGGCAGAUACAAUAGGUUGCGAAACCGCGAGGUGGAGCCAAUCCUCAAAGUCUGUCUCAGUUCAGAUUGUAGGCUGCAACUCGCCUGCAUGAAGUUGGAGUUGCUAGUAAACGCAGGUCAGCUAUACUGCGUUGAAUACGUCCCGGGAUU
rnacentral:rRNA from 1 species